GAUGAACGCUGGCGGCGUGCCUAAUACAUGCGAGUCGAGCGAACAGACGAGGAGCUUGCUCCUCGGACGUUAGCGGCGGACGGGUGAGUAACACGUGGAUAACCUACCUAUAAGACUGGGAUAACUUCGGGAAACCGGAGCUAAUACCGGAUAAUAUAUUGAACCGCAGGGUUCAAUAGUGAAAGACGGUUUUGCGGUCACUUAUAGAUGGAUCCGCGCCGUAUUAGCUAGUUGGUAAGGUAACGGCUUACCAAGGCAACGAUGCGUAGCCGACCUGAGAGAGUGAUCGGCCACACUGGAACUGAGACACGGUCCAGACUCCUACGGGAGGCAGCAGUAGGGAAUCUUCCGCAAUGGGCGAAAGCCUGACGGAGCAACGCCGCGUGAGUGAUGAAGGUCUUCGGAUCGUAAAACUCUGUUAUUAGGGAAGAACAACUGUGUACGUAACUAUGCACGUCUUGACGGUACCUAAUCAGAAAGCCACGGCUAACUACGUG
rnacentral:rRNA from 1 species